GACGAACGCUGGCGGCGUGCCUAAUACAUGCCAGUAGAACGCACAGUUUAUACCGUAGCUUGCUACACCAUAAACUGUGAGUUGCGAACGGGUGAGUAACGCGUAGGUAACCUGCCUGGUAGCGGGGGAUAACUAUUGGAAACGAUAGCUAAUACCGCAUAAUAUUGAUUAUUGCAUGAUAAUUGAUUGAAAGAUGCUAUUGCAUCACUACCAGAUGGACCUGCGUUGUAUUAGCUAGUAGGUGAGGUAACGGCUCACCUAGGCGACGAUACAUAGCCGACCUGAGAGGGUGAUCGGCCACACUGGGACUGAGACACGGCCCAGACUCCUACGGGAGGCAGCAGUAGGGAAUCUUCGGCAAUGGACGAAAGUCUGACCGAGCAACGCCGCGUGAGUGAAGAAGGUUUUCGGAUCGUAAAGCUCUGUUGUAAGAGAAGAACGGGUGUGAGAGUGGAAAGUUCACACUGUGACGGUAUCUUAACAGAAAGGGACGGCUAACUACGUG
rnacentral:rRNA from 1 species